GUUGACCUCGGAUCAGGUAGGGAUACCCGCUGAACUUAAGCAUAUCAAUAAGCGGAGGAAAAGAAACCAACAGGGAUUGCUCUAGUAACGGCGAGUGAAGCAGCAAUAGCUCAAAUUUGAAAUCUGGCGUCUUCGACGUCCGAGUUGUAAUUUGUAGAGGAUGCUUCUGAGUAACCACCGACCUAAGUUCCUUGGAACAGGACGUCAU
rnacentral:rRNA from 1 species